UGCAUAUGGUCAAGCCAUAAUGUGAGACCAACAAGAGCAGCACCCGCAGACAGCUUCCUGAAGUCCGCCCCCCAAUCCUUGUCAGCCACUCUGCAGAAUAAGAUGAACAUCAAUUAGAUAAAAAUGCAAAAAUAGUAAAGCUUCAAAAAGAGAUUGUCAUGAAAUGCAUGUCACAAUCUUGACGUUCAUGUGAAGAUUUAAG
rnacentral:misc_RNA from 1 species